GUGCUCACUUCAACAGCAUAUACACUAAAACUGUAAUCUACAGAGAAGAUUGGCAUGUCCCCUGCACAAGAAUGACACACAAGUUAAUUAAGCAGUCCAUAUUUUG
ensembl:snRNA U6 U6 spliceosomal RNA